GCUGCUGUGAGUUCUUCAUUGAUCAGAAAAAUUCACUUUGACUGGAUUCUUACAAGAAAUGCCUGUUUUCCAGGCUUGGAAGGGACAUCAGUUCUACAGAAGUUCUUCAUGGCCCAGGUCCUUCAUGACCUUGCUACUCAUGCCUCUGAAGCAUCUCACAAGAAGGCUGCAUUGGUCCUCUCACAUGCACUGGACAUUUGCAAGCUUUAAUGAAGAAAAAGACAUGGAGAAGAUACUUAUGUUACACAUACUUUUCUUCAGUAUUGGAAGGCUUGGUACACGAUUUUCUUAGCAUGGCAUUCCCAGGAGUUUCUAUUAGCAUUAAAAAAUAAAAUUCUCAGAACUUAUUAGGGAUCCA
rnacentral:lncRNA from 1 species